rnacentral:sRNA from 1 species
GGAGAACCCCACAAAUUUAAGAGAGAAUGGGCCAGUGUCAUGCGCUGCAUAGCAGUUUUUGUUGGCAUUAACCACGCCAGUGCUAAAUUGGAUUUUGCCAAUAAUGUCCAGCUGUCCCUGACUUUAGCAGCCCUAUCUUUGGGCCUUUGGUGGACAUUUGAUCGUUCCAGAAGUGGCCUUGGGCUGGGGAUCACCAUAGCUUUUCUAGCUACGCUGAUCACGCAGUUUCUCGUGUAUAAUGGUGUCUAUCAGUAAGUGUGUUUUCAAAUAUUGGCUUUGGAAAGCUUACUUAACUUUCAUUAAAACAUCCACUAAGCUUAAAUAUUUUCAUAUUUUAUUUGGUUUUUAUAUAGAAUGAUACAGAUUCAGGCAUGAAAUUCUCAAAAAUGCUGCUAUCCAUAACUUAAUGUAAUGCAAAGGAAAACCAAGUAGUAGCAGUUACAACCAAACAAAUACGAACAUUUGUAACAUUGGAUGGUUGAUAUGCGUUCUGCAUAUCCCACUACAGAGCAUCUGUGAUGUAGAAUGGGCCAGGUGAAAUCGACUGCUAAGGCACAGUUUCUUUUCUCGCUCCAGGUAUACAUCCCCAGAUUUCCUCUAUAUUCGUUCUUGGCUCCCUUGUAUAUUUUUCUCAGGAGGUGUCACAGUGGGGAACAUAGGACGACAGUUAGCUAUGGUAAGUGAAAUGAUCAUAUUAUCUUCUAAAACUUGCGUCUCUUUACCUUGAUAGAGUGACUUUACAUGAUACAUUCAAAUUUGUGUUUAUAUAUUCUGGUUCAGACUUGAGUGACAACUACUGAGAAAAGCUUAUAUUUAAAAAAAUAGGUAAUGAUACCCAGGUAAUUCUU